GGGGUGGUGGGGGGUGUCACAGAGCUGGGAACUCGCUCAGAGCCAGGGUCUCUGCUGGGGUCAGCGUCUGUACCCUAAAGCCAGGGCGCAAAGUGCGUGGGCACUGCGGACACUAGAGGCUUAUGGCGCUGGAAAUACAAGGCCGAGUUGCCGGCGCCAAGAGUUCCCCGGGCGGGUUGGUGAUGCGGCGCGCUUUGAUAACAGGUUAAUGCGGCCAACAUUCGCUCCGCGAGAGAUCCACCGGAGGGCUCCGGGAGACUGCGGCGCCACGGAGGGAGAGGCGGAGAGAGGCCCCUCUGCGAGCACCCUCUGGGCGCAGUGCGGUGGGCUAUGCUCUGCGCAUCCCCGGGCGCGCCUGGGUUCUCAGAGCCCAAGACCUGAGCCGCUCCGAGCGCAGGGCACCAGUUCUCUUUCAGAAGUGGGAGAAGUUCAGGUGCCCAACACCUUGAUCAGUGCCUGCUUUGUAGUAGGCAUUCAAAUACUGUGGACUGGAUGAAUGGAGUCACUUCCCUUCCAACCUGCACACCAACGUGGUGGUUGAACUGCCUCCUUUCUAAGUGCCAAAGUCUGUUUUACAAGGCUGAUAUCAAAGGAGCAUUAGAAAAUAUUGUCUAACAGAAGUACCAGGGCUGGAUCCCAAAGUUUUGUGUAGAUCUUGAUAAAGAGUUUGGAUUUUAUUCUAACAAGAGUGAAGAGCAUGACAAUGUUUGCAGAAGAGUGAUGGCUUCUUUCAGGCAACAGUGACAAUUACACCUCCUCUUUUUCUCUUUGAUCCUCCACCCUCUCCCUCCAGCACCUGGUACAAAGCUGGGUACCCAGCAGGCACUCUGUAAAUUAAAGUGCUGCCAGCCUGAACAAUCUCAGUGGAA